GGAGGGCUGGCAGAGCGGCCGAUUGCGGCGGUCUUGAAAACCGCUAGGGGCGCGAGCUCCUCGGGGGUUCGAAUCCCCCGCCCUCCG
rnacentral:tRNA from 1 species